GCGCCGGCGCACCUGCGCGCUUCCAACUCUCCACUCCGUACUCGAGUACUUUUGAAAGCGAGGUGUUGUGUUUUGUGAUUGCUCUCUUGUGUUCUGGAACUAUCUCUCUUUAUUCUCUUAAAGGGAUUCUUUUUGGAUUAGUUCCCUACUUUGUGACGGAUUUUCUGAACGCUUCCCGCGGUCUGAAGUGAGGUUACUUGACGAAUUAUGAACGUGAUUCAUCUUUCGCUUGUCCAGUAACUCAAACCAGGUA